rnacentral:lncRNA from 1 species
CAAUUGACAAUUCCUUCCGACCCUUAUUAGAUCCACGACGGACGACACUUCCUUCUUCAUGCUCUUGACGGACAUCUUCAAUGAUCCACAACCUGACGACACUUCUCUCUCUGUGUAGAAUCUUGGCGAACGACUAUAAUUGUACAUCGCUGGAGAUCUCCUGCACACUUGCCUCCAUUAAUCUGCCAAUUUAUUAAUAAAUCGCAUUGCCUGGGACUCGAACCCCAAACCUCUUGGUGUAGAAGCAUUAAUUAACUCUUAGUCAAC